ensembl:lncRNA
GGGUCAUAAAUGCACUGAUUUUUGCAGCUACGGCCACUUUCUCUAUGUGACAUAAAGAGGGGAACGGUUAAAUGCUGUUUUGUCACAUGUCCUGAGGCUGAUUUCACAAUUAGAGUGUCUUUUGAAAAAGUUACGUUUGGGACCUCUACUGUUAGUACACUUUUACACGCUCCUGUGUCGCAAAGGAAUUUUACUGGGGCGCCAUUCACGUGUACUAUAACUGUUGGCUUUGCUUCUGAUCCUAGCAGUAGUUGUUCGAUAUUGUAAACUUCCCCUUCAUCUGUUUCACUUCCUUCCUCUCGUGCUAGUCAUUCAUCACGUCGUCUGCGCCUGUCAUCAUCACUUUCCUGUUCUUGGCUUACACUUCUACAGUCUCGAGCAAAAUGCCCGUUUUUACCACAGUUAUAACAUUUCAUAUCUCUUUUGUCUCUUCUUUGUCCUACUUUUUGCUUUCCCUUACGUGGCUUAUAGCCUGUAGUGUGUUUUUGUUGUCCUGAGAAAGCUAUAAAGCCUGUCUCUGGGUCAAUCAUGAAAACUCCUUCUGUUUUUUCUUUCUGUUUAUAUACUUUAACUGCAUGCUCGGCAUAUUGCAGGGCGUCAGGCAAAGUGCCUGUGUUUUGUGUCACCCAAUGUUUGUCUAUUUUUUCUUUUUCUUUUUUUUUUUUUUUUUUAUGUAACACCUUCAACCUGUUCCGUUGCAGCCACUCCUAGAGCGACCGGAACUUGUCCCGUUACAGCUGCUUACCCAGAGCAACCGGAACUUUUAAUAGCGAUUUCUAGAAUUUUGCUCUUGCCUGUUGUCUCCUAAAAGUCCCUCUUGGACUGAGAUCUGUCGGCGCUAACCAGGUUUACACACUAUUUUAAAGGAAAAUCUCAAUAUCAACGUAUUUUAGCGCUUGAUGGAGUGCAGUGUUUCAUAUUCACCUUACUGUGGCGCUGCGUUUUGAAUCCGGCGCUCAUCGGGUCCUGGAGCCGUGAAGGCCUGUAUAAACGCUGACCGGAGAUCGAAUUCACGCUCCCGGUUUUUCUUGUUUACUGUGCACAGAUUUUUCCCAGCGCAGGCGUCACGACGUCAGGAUCCGAUGAAGACCGUUCUGUGGAAAACUAGACGUUAAAAAUAACAGUCAGUUCUCCGGCUACGAAGGACCAAUUAAAUGUCAGGGGUAGACAUUUGUUCAAACACAAGUAAGAGAAAUGAGACAACUGCAGACCGACUCAGAGUGUAUAAGAGCGUGCGCACGGGUGUGAAUGUCUCUGAGAAGACACACACACCGAGUGCCGGCUUGCUUCCUUUAUUUAUAGGGCAAAGCAGGUUACAUAGUACUUCCUUUUUUAACAGAAGUUGAAGAGAGGUUAGACAUUAAAUCAGCUUAUCUGAUCUUUCA